rnacentral:rRNA from 1 species
AUUGAACGCUGGCGGCAGGCCUAACACAUGCAAGUCGAGCGAGCGGCGGACGGGUGAGUAAUGUCUGGGAAACUGCCUGAUGGAGGGGGAUAACUACUGGAAACGGUAGCUAAUACCGCAUACCAUCAGAUGUGCCCAGAUGGGAUUAGCUAGUUGGUGGGGUAACGGCUCACCAAGGCGACGAUCCCUAGCUGGUCUGAGAGGAUGACAAGCCACACUGGAACUGAGACACGGUCCAGAAUCCUACGGGAGGCAGCAGUGGGGAAUAUUGCACAAGGGGCGCAAGCCUGAUACAGCCAUGCCGCGUGUGUGAAGAAGGCCUUCGGGUUGUAAAGCACUUUCAGCGAGGAGGCGUUACGCGCAGAAGAAGCACCGGCUAACUCCGUGCCAGCAGCCGCGGUAAUUC